rnacentral:rRNA from 1 species
UACGGGGGGAGCAAGCGUUGUUCGGAUUUACUGGGCGUAAAGGGCGCGUAGGCGGUCAGCACAAGUCAGUUGUGAAAUCUCCGGGCUUAACUCGGAAAGGUCAACUGAUACUGUGCGACUAGAGUGCAGAAGGGGCAACUGGAAUUCUCGGUGUAGCGGUGAAAUGCGUAGAUAUCUGGAGGAACACCGGUGGCGAAGGCGGCAUCCUGGACCAACACUGACGCUGAGUGAGCGAAAGUGUGGGGAGCGAACAGG